GACAGAGGGUGCAAACGUUGUUCGGAAUUACUGGGCGUAAAGCGCGUGUAGGCUGCUCCGAAAGUCGGAUGUGAAAGCCCUGGGCUCAACCUAGGAAGUGCAUUCGAAACUUCGGAGCUGGAGUCCUGGAGAGGAGGGCGGAAUUCUCGGUGUAGAGGUGAAAUUCGUAGAUAUCGAGAGGAACACCGGUGGCGAAGGCGGCCUUCUGGACAGUGACUGACGCUGAGACGCGAAAGCGUGGGGAGCAAACAGG
rnacentral:rRNA from 1 species